GAGAUAACUCCUACGGGAGGCAGCAGUGGGGAAUUUUGGACAAUGGGGGCAACCCUGAUCCAGCAAUGCCGCGUGAGUGAAGAAGGCCUUCGGGUUGUAAAGCUCUUUUGUCAGGGAAGAAACGGUAGUAGCUAAUAUCUAUUACUAAUGAGGGUACCUGAAGAAUAAGCACCGGCUAACUACGUGCCAGCAGCCGCGGUAAUACGUAGGGUGCAAGCGUUAAUCGGAAUUACUGGGCGUAAAGCGUGCGCAGGCGGUUGUGUAAGUCAGAUGUGAAAUCCCCGGGCUCAACCUGGGAAUUGCAUUUGAGACUGCGUGGCUAGAGUUGGUGAGAGGGGGGUAGAAUUCCACGUGUAGCAGUGAAAUGCGUAGAUAUGUGGAGGAAUACCGAUGGCGAAGGCAGCUCCCUGGGAUAACACUGACGCUCAUGCACGAAAGCGUGGGGAGCAAACAGGAUUAGAAACCCGAGUAGUCCUCCACU
rnacentral:rRNA from 1 species